UACGUAGGGGGCAAGCGUUGUCCGGAAUUAUUGGGCGUAAAGAGCUCGUAGGCGGUUUGUCGCGUCGGCCGUGAAAUCUCCACGCUUAACGUGGAGCGUGCGGUCGAUACGGGCAGACUUGAGUUCGGUAGGGGAGACUGGAAUUCCUGGUGGAGCGGUGAAAUGCGCAGAUAUCAGGAGGAACACCCGUAGCGAAGGCGGCACUCUGGGCCGAUACUGACACUGAGGAGCGAAAGCGUGGGGAGCGAACAGG
rnacentral:rRNA from 1 species